UACGGAGGAUCCAAGCGUUAUCCGGAAUCAUUGGGUUUAAAGGGUCCGUAGGCGGAUUGAUAAGUCAGCGGUGAAAGUUUGUGGCUUAACCAUAAAAUUGCCGUUGAUACUGUUAGUCUUGAAUAAUUAUGAAGUAGCUAGAAUAUGUAGUGUAGCGGUGAAAUGCUUAGAUAUUACAUGGAAUACCGAUUGCGAAGGCAGGUUACUAAUAAUUUAUUGACGCUGAUGGACGAAAGCGUGGGGAGCGAACAGGAUUAGAUACCCUGGUAGUCCACGCCGUAAACGAUGGAUACUAGCUGUUUGGUAGCAAUACUGAGUGGCUAAGCGAAAGUGAUAAGUAUCCCACCUGGGGAGUACGUUCGCAAGAAUGAA
rnacentral:rRNA from 1 species